rnacentral:rRNA from 1 species
AAGCCAUGCGAGUCUAUGGACUUCGGUCCAUGGCGGACGGCUCAGUAACACGUGGCUAACCUACCCUCGGGUGGGGGAUAACCUCGGGAAACUGAGGAUAAUACCCCAUAGGAGAAGAGGUCUGGAAUGAUCCUUCUCUGAAAACAUAUGUGCCCGAGGAUGGGGCUGCGUCUGAUUAGGUAGUUGGUGGGGUAAUGGCCCACCAAGCCUACGAUCAGUACGGGCCUUGAGAGAGGCAGCCCGGAGAUGGGGACUGAGACACGGCCCCAGGCCCUACGGGGCGCAGCAGGCGCGAAACCUCCGCAAUGCACGAAAGUGCGACGGGGGGACCCCAAGUGCUUACGCACUGCGUAGGCUUUUCUAAAGUGUAAAAAGCUUUAGGAAUAAGGGCUGGGCAAGUCCGGUGCCAGCAGCCGCGGUAACACCGGCGGCCCGAGUGGUGACCACUUUUAUUGGGCCUAAAGCGUCCGUAGCCGGUCCAGUAAGUCC